rfam:Myotis brandtii contig156400, whole genome shotgun sequence.
GGCCUCCCUCUGUGGGACUAUUGAUUGUGGGGCCCCCAGAUCGAUUGUCCUGCAGAGGGAGGCC